ensembl:lncRNA
CCAAGGCUAAACUUCAGAGCUAGCUGUGGCAGAGAGCUCCAGGUGGACAGAUAAACCAGAGGUGACCCAGUCACUUGGGCUGGCUCCAGUCCUGACAAGAUUAUAUUCAGUUGAAAUGAUCUACUUAUGUAUGUAAAAAUUAGUUGAAUAAUUUCAGUAGACUAACAGGAAAAAAUGGGACCUGUGAAGAUGGUGUCUUCAUGCAACACUGGUGGAAACAUUAAAGCUCACACUUUGAUGCCCAGUGGGCUCUGGACAGAUCCUAGCUCUAACAUUUCAUGGGUGUCCUUGAAUUCAAUUUCUGUACAACUCAGAUCCCUCACAUAUUAGCUGAGAACAAUAGCACCUUCUAUAUACAGUAAUUGUAAGGCCUAAAAGGAUCUAGCCCUUCAAAACAAUUUCUCAAAGAAUAGUAACUAUUAUUACUCUCUACUAUGCGAUUAAAUGAUGGAGCUCAUGUGUCCAGGCCUUGGGAGCCAUUUGUCCCAGGUGAGGCCAGGCAGAUGCUUUUGGAUUUGGUGGGUAGGAUGCGCAUCUUGCAGCCUCAGUCCAAGACAAUAAAGCAGGUAUGUGUCCUUUGUGCUGGCUUGCAUUUUGAAGGAACUAAAAAGACUAGAAAAUCGGCACGCUUUCCCAGCAGGAACUUCUGAUCUGGCA